GCCUCCGUAGCUCAGCUGGUAGAGCAGCGGAUUCUUAAUCCGCGGGUCGAAGGUUCGAUCCCUUCCGGAGGUACCA
rnacentral:tRNA from 2 species